GACGAACGCUGGCGGCGUGCUUCAUACAUGCAAGUCGAACGAGAAGCAGUCUUCGGACUGUGGAAAGUGGCGGACGGGUGAGUAAUAUGUAGAGAAUCUGCCCUAGAGAGUGGGACAACAGAGGGAAACUUCUGCUAAUACCGCAUAUGCGCGUAGUUGAAAUACUAUUCGUGAAAACUCCGGUGCUCUGGGAUGAGUCUGCAUCUGAUUAGCUAGUUGGCGGUGUAAUGGACUACCAAGGCGACGAUCAGUAGCUGGUUUGAGAGGAUGAUCAGCCACAAUGGGACUGAGACACGGCCCAUACUCCUACGGGAGGCAGCAGUAGGGAAUUUUGCGCAAUGGGCGAAAGCCUGACGCAGCAACACCGCGUGAAUG
rnacentral:rRNA from 1 species